rnacentral:tRNA from 1 species
AAAGGUAAAGUAUAAAAUUUUACAUUUCAGUUACAUUGAAAAAAUCCAAAUAUUAGGUACCUUUA